UUAACACGAAGUGAGUGGCGAACGGGUGAGUAACACGUGGGUAACCUGCCCAGAAGUAGGGGAUAACACCUGGAAACAGAUGCUAAUACCGUAUAACAGAGAAAACCGCAUGGUUUUCUUUUAAAAGAUGGCUCUGCUAUCACUUCUGGAUGGACCCGCGGCGUAUUAGCUAGUUGGUGAGGUAAAGGCUCACCAAGGCAGUGAUACGUAGCCGACCUGAGAGGGUAAUCGGCCACAUUGGGACUGAGACACGGCCCAGACUCCUACGGGAGGCAGCAGUAGGGAAUCUUCCACAAUGGACGCAAGUCUGAUGGAGCAACGCCGCGUGAGUGAAGAAGGGUUUCGGCUCGUAAAGCUCUGUUGUUAAAGAAGAACGUGGGUAAGAGUAACUGUUUACCCAGUGACGGUAUUUAACCAGAAAGCCACGGCUAACUACGUGCCAGCAGCCGCGGUAAUACGUAGGUGGCAAGCGUUAUCCGGAUUUAUUGGGCGUAAAGCGAGCGCAGGCGGUCUUUUAAGUCUAAUGUGAAAGCCUUCGGCUCAACCGAAGAAGUGCAUUGGAAACUGGGAGACUUGAGUGCAGAAGAGGACAGUGGAACUCCAUGUGUAGCGGUGAAAUGCGUAGAUAUAUGGAAGAACACCAGUGGCGAAGGCGGCUGUCUGGUCUGCAACUGACGCUGAGGCUCGAAAGCAUGGGUAGCGAACAGGAUUAGAUACCCUGGUAGUCCAUGCCGUAAACGAUGAUUACUAAGUGUUGGAGGGUUUCCGCCCUUCAGUGCUGCAGCUAACGCAUUAAGUAAUCCGCCUGGGGAGUACGACCGCAAGGUUGAAACUCAAAAGAAUUGACGGGGGCCCGCACAAGCGGUGGAGCAUGUGGUUUAAUUCGAAGCUACGCGAAGAACCUUACCAGGUCUUGACAUCUUCUGACAGUCUAAGAGAUUAGAGGUUCCCUUCGGGGACAGAAUGACAGGUGGUGCAUGGUUGUCGUCAGCUCGUGUCGUGAGAUGUUGGGUUAAGUCCCGCAACGAGCGCAACCCUUAUUACUAGUUGCCAGCAUUAAGUUGGGCACUCUAGUGAGACUGCCGGUGACAAACCGGAGGAAGGUGGGGACGACGUCAAAUCAUCAUGCCCCUUAUGACCUGGGCUACACACGUGCUACAAUGGAUGGUACAACGAGUCGCGAGACCGCGAGGUUAAGCUAAUCUCUUAAAACCAUUCUCAGUUCGGACUGUAGGCUGCAACUCGCCUACACGAAGUCGGAAUCGCUAGUAAUCGCGGAUCAGCAUGCCGCGGUGAAUACGUUCCCGGGCCUUGUACACACCGCCCGUCACACCAUGAGAGUUUGUAACACCCAAAGCCGGUGGGGUAACCUUUUAGGAGCUAGCCGUCUAAGG
rnacentral:rRNA from 1 species